rnacentral:rRNA from 1 species
UGGGGAAUUUUGGACAAUGGGCGAAAGCCUGAUCCAGCAAUGCCGCGUGUGUGAAGAAGGCCUUCGGGUUGUAAAGCACUUUUGUCCGGAAAGAAAUCCUUGGCUCUAAUACAGUCGGGGGAUGACGGUACCGGAAGAAUAAGCACCGGCUAACUACGUGCCAGCAGCCGCGGUAAUACGUAGGGUGCAAGCGUUAAUCGGAAUUACUGGGCGUAAAGCGUGCGCAGGCGGUUUGCUAAGACCGAUGUGAAAUCCCCGGGCUCAACCUGGGAACUGCAUUGGUGACUGGCAGGCUAGAGUAUGGCAGAGGGGGGUAGAAUUCCACGUGUAGCAGUGAAAUGCGUAGAGAUGUGGAGAAUACCGAUGGCGAAGGCAGCCCCGGGCCAAUACUGACGCUCAUGCACGAAAGCGUGGGGAGCAAACAGGAUUAGAUACCCUGGUAGUCCACGCCCUAAAACGAUGUCAACUAGUUGUUGGGGAUUCAUUUCCUUAGUAACGUAGCUAACGCGUGAAGUUGACCGCCUGGGGAGUACGGUCG